GCAUCCCUUAAAUUCUUGUGCAGUUGCUGAAAAUAAUCAAGAGAAGCUAAAGAGAGAUUCACCAUAAGGAGAGACUCACAUUAGUUGUUUUUCUCUCACUCUCUUCAACUCAGAGCAACAAUGACAAAAUGGGUGAUUAUUGCUCUUUUCUUCACGGCACAUGAUUUAGUGUGCUGGGGACAGGACAGUGUUGAUCAGCCUUCAAGAGAAGAGACUUCUGCUGAGGGAAAUCAAGUGACUUUAUUGUGUAAUUAUACCCUCAUGAGCGCUGCAAAUGCUUAUCUCUUCUGGUACAAACAGCUACCAAACAGAUCACCUGCAUUCAUUCUGAGUGACUUUUCCACUGGGAAAGGAAAGACAGAGCCUGAAUUUGAGGAGAGAUUUCAUGCCAAACUGGAUUCCACAUUAGGAACAGUUCCUCUGAUGAUCCAGGAUGUGUGUGUGUCUGACUCUGCUGUGUACUACUGUGCUCUGAAGCCCACUGUGACUCAAACACACUCAACACUCACACAAAAACACAUUUCUCUGGCAUUGAUGACAAAUACAUAACCAUAAUGAAUCCUUGAGGAGGAGGAGACGUUCAGUAUUGAGGAACUGUGGUUCAGUCAGACUCCUCCUGCAGGUCUCUGAUAUGUGUCAGUGUUAGUACAACUUUAUCAAAGAGAGGCUGAAACAAGAGUCUGCUGUAGAUUUCAACAAGUUCAUUUUAUCUAAAGUAUUAUUUAACAAUUUCUGUGAUGGCAAACUGGCAAAGAAUUGUAGUCUUCUUGAUCACAUAUUUCUGGGGUAAGUCAGAUUCUGUAAGUAUUCAUGCUGUAAUAUUCUUCUAAUAUGAAUAUGAGAUCCUCAUCAGU